rnacentral:sRNA from 1 species
AAAUAAACACACUCACGAUCUGAUAAAACAUUCUGCCUGGACUAAGUUUGCGACAGAGAAAUCAAACAUGGCAAUCGUACUUCCAAGAAACUUCAGUCUGGUUCUUGCCGAGGAGGAUGGAAGCUGCUUCCAGAGAAUAACACCAUCCUCUACUGCAAACAAUGAAGGAUUCUUUAGAUCCUGCAAUGGGUUCUCCACCUUACGCAAGGUUGCAGAUGUACCCAAAGUAUGGCACAGCACCAUGCUACCUUCGGAGUGAUUGAUGGCAAAUCAUUGACAUAAGACUAUAUAGUUCCUCGUGCCCCACGGGAGGAAAAUAGGACGUGGUCCUCUUCACUAUGCAACUGAAGAACUAACUCUAUCAUUUCGUGGAAAUUCAAUGGAUAUACAAAUGAUUGGGACCUCCUUCGAAAUGUCCUCAAACUUUCGCUACAGAUGCAAAGGACGGUGUUUUCACUGUACUCGAUAAAUUGCUGACUUAAAGUUAACCGAAUAUGAAAAGACAGCAGCAAAUUGUAGUAAUUUGCAAUAUGAGACUUUUUCGUAGCAAGAACAUUGCAGGAUAAGAAUGUUGUGGCAUGUGCAAUACUUUUGUUCUAUUGUAACUUAAUUUAUUGAACUUUUUUGAUCACUGAAUUCCAUGUUUUGUUAUCUAAUGUUAUUUUGUUGUUGAUUAAUUUAUUAAAACGACAUAAAACUAU